rnacentral:rRNA from 1 species
GACGAACGCUGGCGGCGUGCCUAAUACAUGCAAGUAGAACGCUGAAGCGAGGCGCUUGCUCUUCUUGGGGGAGUUGCGAAAGGGUGAGUAACGCGUAGGUAACCUGCAUGGUCGCGGGGGAUAACUAUUGGAAACGAUAGCUAAUACCGCAUAAAAUGGAUUAUCGCAUGAUAAUCCAUUAAAAGGUGCAAAUGCAUCACUAUCAGCCGGAACUGCGUUGUAUUAGCUAGUUGGUGGGGUAACGGCUCACCAAGGCGACGAGAGAUCGCCGACCUGAUAGGGUGGUUGGCCACACUGGGACUGAGACACUGCACAGACUCCGACGGGAGGCAGCAGUAGGGGACCUUCGGCAAUGGACGGAAGUCGGAUCGGGCAACGCCGCGUGGGUGAAUGAGGUUUUCGGAUCGUAAAGCACAGGUGUAAGAGAAGAGCGGGUGUGGGAGUGGAAAGUUCACACUGUGACGGUAACUUACCAGAAAGGCACGGCUAACUACGUG